rnacentral:lncRNA from 1 species
CAGGAGUGGCCAUACCAGAUAAGAAAAAUAAAUCCCAACAAUUUAUCAGACAACGUUUGCAAACUAGCUUCUUGGAGGUGUGAAGAGAGACUGCAUAGGGUAGUAGUGUAUAUACACAGGGUAAAAGAAGGUUGAAAGACACCUCAGACUUGGUGGUGAAUCCAGGAGUCAGAAAUAAAACCACCGGGUUACAGGUUUUGUGUCAAGGUGACAAGAGCUUAGUAAGAAGACAAGCUAUCCCGGGUGCUUUAGCUACUUUGGUGAGAGAUGAGCAACGGAUCUCCCAGACAGGAAAGUGGACAUCUCUUCUCCUGUGUCUCCUCGACCCCCCAGGUUCAUUUACUUGCUCACUCUCAGGUGCGUUCAUGUGCCUGGUCUUCCCACUUGCGGGAACAGUAGCAGCACCCAUCAACUCAGGCCAGAAACCCGAGUCUCCUAUGUGGCGCCUCCUUAGCCCUCGUGGGUUUCAGCCACUGAGACACCAGGUCCCACGAAUUCCAUCUCCCCAGACAUCUCUGACACUGGCCCCUCCUCUCCAUCAUUUCAUGCUGCUAAAAGCUCUCCCCAUUUGCCUGUUGCCACAGCCUCCCUCCCUCCUUCCAGCCUCAGCCGGUCAAUCACCUUUCCACAGAAGAGCUGAAGAGAGCUUUCUAGACUGCAGCCCUUACACGGAAGCCCCGAACACAGAAGGACUUCACGGUUCGGUCACUGCCAUUUUCUUUAGUGUUUCCCUUUUACUCUCCAUCUCGACCUCUUCCAAUGAGUCCUGCCCUUCCCCAAAUCCGUGUCUUUCAUGUAUGGGGC